rnacentral:rRNA from 1 species
AUGGGCAACGGCAAGGUGUACGCGACGAUCGUGCUCAUCAGGCUGAUCUACGCUGGCAUGCACAUAUUCACCAAGGCGGCGUUCGAGGAGGGCACCAGCACCACCGUCUUCGUCUUCUACCGGCACGCCGUCGCCGCCAUCUUCUUGGCGCCUUUCGCCUUCUUCCUCGAGAUCAGGUGGCCGAAUAGACAUGACAUGACGGGUUUGUUCAGUCAUCGUGAGAUGAGGUCAACUGCAUCGCUUAUCCCUCUCGUCUUCUCUGAUUUCAGGCAGGGGUCGGCGCCACCGCUGACGUUCAGACUCUCCGUCAAGAUCUUUAUCCACGCCUUCUAUGGGAUGGCUGGAACGAUAAACCUGUAUAGCAUUGGCCUGAAUUAUGCUUCAGCAACCUCUUCGUCGGCCAUCUUCAACAUCGUGCCAGUGGUUGCAUUCAUCCUGGCCGUCAUGUUCAGGAUGGAGACUCUCAAGUUGAAGAGCGUCCACGGCAUGGCCAAAGCCUCGGGGAUACUUCUGUGCAUCGGAGGAGUGGUCGCGCUGGCGCUGUACCAAGGCCCCCAGCUCAAGUCCUUGAACCACCACCCGCUCCUGCACAGCACCGGCACGGCCGUGCACGCGCGCCCGGAGAAGAACUGGGCGCUGGGCAUCUUCCUCAUGACCGCGUCGGUCGUGAUAUGGGCCCUGUGGACAGUACAGCAGGGCCCCCUGUUGCUGGAGUACCCAUCCAAGCUUCUCAACACGACGCUCCAGUGCACCUUCGCCAGCGUCCAGUCGUUCGUCAUCGCCCUGGUCAUGGAGAGGGACUUCUCGCGGUGGAAGCUCGCCGGCGGCAUGAGCCUCUUCGCGGUUCUCUUCACGGGCAUUGUUGUGGCGGCGAUCUCGUACUACCUGCAGAUCUGGGUGAUCGAGAAGAAAGGCCCGGUGUUCCUGUCCAUGUCCAUGCCGCUCAGCCUCGUCUUCACCAUGGUGAUCGCCUCCUUCCUCCUGGGAGAGGACGUGGGCCUGGGAAGCAUUAUCGGUGGCGCGCUGCUCGUUGCCGGUCUCUAUGCCGUGCUCUGGGGCAAGGGGAGGGAGGAGCGAGGGGCGGCGGUGGACGCCGCUCUGGCGCAAAGGAGGGCGGGGGAAUCCAAGGAGAGCGAGAUCUUGUCAGACGCGACGGCCAAGGUUUGA